rnacentral:rRNA from 1 species
UACGGGGGGGGCAAGCGUUGUUCGGAAUUACUGGGCGUAAAGGGCUCGUAGGCGGCCAACUAAGUCAGACGUGAAAUCCCUCGGCUUAACCGGGGAACUGCAUCUGAUACUGGAUGGCUUGAGUUCGGGAGAGGGAUGCGGAAUUCCAGGUGUAGCGGUGAAAUGCGUAGAUAUCUGGAGGAACACCGGUGGCGGAGGCGGCAUCCUGGACCGACACUGACGCUGAGGAGCGAAAGCCAGGGGAGCAAACGGG